GUAUUACUCCCUCCGUCUCGAAAUUCUUGUCUUAGAUUCGUCUAGUUAUGGAUGUAUCUAAUGCUAAAGUGUGACUUGAUACAUCGUAUUUAGAUAAAUUUAAGACAAGAAUUUUAGGACGGACGGAGUACUAA
rfam:Triticum aestivum genome assembly, contig: Triticum_aestivum_CS42_TGACv1_scaffold_227184_3B